rnacentral:rRNA from 1 species
UGACGAGCGGCGGACGGGUGAGUAAUGUCUGGGAAACUGCCUGAUGGAGGGGGAUAACUACUGGAAACGGUAGCUAAUACCGCAUAACGUCGCAAGACCAAAGUGGGGGACCUUCGGGCCUCAUGCCAUCAGAUGUGCCCAGAUGGGAUUAGCUGGUAGGUGGGGUAACGGCUCACCUAGGCGACGAUCCCUAGCUGGUCUGAGAGGAUGACCAGCCACACUGGAACUGAGACACGGUCCAGACUCCUACGGGAGGCAGCAGUGGGGAAUAUUGCACAAUGGGCGCAAGCCUGAUGCAGCCAUGCCGCGUGUGUGAAGAAGGCCUUCGGGUUGUAAAGCACUUUCAGCGGGGAGGAAGGCGGUGAGGUUAAUAACCUCGUCGAUUGACGUUACCCGCAGAAGAAGCACCGGCUAACUCCGUGCCAGCAGCCGCGGUAAUACGGAGGGUGCAAGCGUUAAUCGGAAUUACUGGGCGUAAAGCGCACGCAGGCGGUCUGUCAAGUCGGAUGUGAAAUCCCCGGGCUCAACCUGGGAACUGCAUUCGAAACUGGCAGGCUAGAGUCUUGUAGAGGGGGGUAGAAUUCCAGGUGUAGCGGUGAAAUGCGUAGAGAUCUGGAGGAAUACCGGUGGCGAAGGCGGCCCCCUGGACAAAGACUGACGCUCAGGUGCGAAAGCGUGGGGAGCAAACAGGAUUAGAUACCCUGGUAGUCCACGCCGUAAACGAUGUCGAUUUGGAGGUUGUGCCCUUGAGGCGUGGCUUCCGGAGCUAACGCGUUAAAUCGACCGCCUGGGGAGUACGGCCGCAAGGUUAAAACUCAAAUGAAUUGACGGGGGCCCGCACAAGCGGUGGAGCAUGUGGUUUAAUUCGAUGCAACGCGAAGAACCUUACCUGGUCUUGACAUCCACAGAACUUUCCAGAGAUGGAUUGGUGCCUUCGGGAACUGUGAGACAGGUGCUGCAUGGCUGUCGUCAGCUCGUGUUGUGAAAUGUUGGGUUAAGUCCCG